GAGAGAAGGAAGGAUCGACAGAGGGAAACAACAGGAGAAAGUGGACGGCAGGAUUCGGCAGGUUCUGGCCGGAACGGAGAGGAAUCAACAGGCUUUGCCAAGGGCGACCGAGUGAACCCACGCAGGCUGGGAAGGAACCCCAGGACCACGCAGUAGACCCCGCAGGCUACCGGAACGAACCCCAAGACGUCCACAACAGGCAGGGGCAGAGGAAACUCUGCCGCCCAAGGGGCGAUUUGGACCCAGAGACCUGCGGAGACCCCCGGAGCGACCAAGAGGCGGGGUGGGACGGGUGCGGCCACGUAGGUCCCGCAAGUGACCGGAGACUGGCGAGGAGAGUGGGCGUGACCCAACACUUUGCCGCGGAACUACAGCAAAGGCAGGGGAAAACCUGCCUUGUGUGUAAGUGUGGCGUCAGCCCGGAUAGCGUCUCAGUUUUUGUUGAUUUGAUCUCCGUGGCCUGCCUUUCUUUUUAAUUUUUGUGCAGAAGGACGCUGUGGAAGGGGGCGGAGCCAAGAUACCCACACGCCUGUUGACCCCUCGCCCAUCACAUUUGUACCAUCUGGUAUUUUAGCAUCAACGUGACUGUUUUCAUUGUAUUUUAAUAAAUUGUGAACCGGUUAA